GUUGGAAAAGACUAAAGCAGCAAGUUUGAUAAGGAGGCUACAGCAAUAGUCCAGGUGAAAGACGCAAGAGCCCAAAAUGCAGCAGUGGCCAAGGGAAUGGAUCUGAGAUAAAGUUCAGAAGAUAGAGUUGGCAGGGCAGGUGAGGAGAAGAGAAGAAGGCCACAUGAAGAUGGAGCAAGAGAUUGGAGUGAUGUGGCCACAAGCCAAGGAAGCUGAGGAAUGAAGACAGCUAUCAGAAGCUGGAAGAGGAAAAGAAUUCUCUCUUGGGGUCUGCAGAGGGAGAACAGCCCUGCCAACACUUCCAUUUCCAAUGUCUGGACUCUAGAACUGUGAGAAAAUAAAUUCCCAUUAUUUUAAGGAACACAGUUUGUGAUACUGCAUUACAGCAGCUCCAUGAAACAAAUACAUUUUGUUAUUCCAAGUCCUCUUCACAACAAAGUCUUUGCUAGUGGUGAACCAAACACAGUCCCACCAUCAUGAGCCACUGUUCUGGAUGAGGGGGCAACACAGUUCAGACACUGGUCAUCUCUAUUUAAUGUCUAAUGGGCAUCUCAAACCUAACUUUCUCCCAGUGGAAAUGCCUGGAGGUACGUGGAGAUGGAAAGCUGACCUAGCCAAGGAGUUCAGCAAAGAUCCCUGGGAGGAGGUGACAUCUGGACAUCUGCACAGAAUAAUGAGGCUGGGCUAAGGCAGUGACUGAGGGAGGCACUCUUUUUUGGUUUUUCUUUUCUUUUCUUUUGUGUAGGAAGGAAAGAAUAGCCAGGAGAGAUAGAGGAGAAAGAGGAUAAAGAUAGACAGGAAAGAGGUAACACAAGAAGUCAGGACCUGCGCUUGAGGGGCAGAAGUCAAGUCGGGCUAAGGUGAGAAGGCAGAACAGGGUUCAGGGUCUUUGAAGAGAAACAAGUACAGAGCUGGAACUAAGUGAUGCUGACUCCAGACUAAAACCCUCUGGGUUUGAAUCCUGCCUCUGCCACUUACUUAUUCAUUACAAAAUAGCGAG
rnacentral:lncRNA from 1 species